GUCACGUUUCGUCCAUGGAUGUACACACUUUGAAUGGAGUUUCUGCUUCACUGCUGCUAACCAAAAUGAAGCAACACACCUUGUGAACAUGAGCAGCCGAGCAUCAGAGCAGCACUUCACACACCCUCCUCCUCCCCUGUUUUCUCAAGGAUGAAGACUUCAGCUGCCCCCCCAACACAACAAUUAUGCCAUCAACAAAGUGACUGAAAACAUCAGAUGAUCUGCACAAAGCGAUGAGAUACGCCUUUCGAAACUCCUCUCCCGACUGUGAUCAGUAAAGCUGCAUCUCAAGUUAUCUUAAUCAAAUGAUAUGCCCAAUACUCUACUGCACAGCUCUGUGUGCUGUUAUGUAUCACUUUGCACAGUGUGGUUGGUGAACCAUGUUCUCAAGAUGUGAGUGUAAGUUGAGUUACAGUAACAUUUCUAAGUAAUAUGAGGGUAGUCAAGAGCAGGCGUGUGUACUAUACUAUAGUAUGUGGACAAUGCAU